GCUGGGGCUGGGCUCAGGGGAGAGCGCUUGCCUGGCAUGUGUGAGGCACUGGGUUCGAUUCUCAGCACCACAUCA
rnacentral:tRNA from 1 species